rnacentral:rRNA from 1 species
UCUGGUUGAUCCUGCCAGUAGUCAUAUGCUUGUCUCAAAGAUUAAGCCAUGCAUGUGUAAGUAUAAGUAUUAUACGGCGAAACUGCGAAUGGCUCAUUAAAUCAGUUAUAAUUUAUUUGAUAAUCGAAAGUUACAUGGAUAACCGUGACAAAUUACAGCUAAUACAUGCAGUUAGACCUGGCUCAAGGGUCGUAAUUAUUAGUACUAAACCAUUUCCGCAAGGAAUGUGAUGAUUCAUAGUAAUCGAACGAAUCGCAGGUAUAUGCGAUAAAUCAUUCAAGUUUCUGCCCUAUCAGCUUUGGAUGGUAGUGUAUUGGACUACCAUGGCAGUCACGGGUAACGGAGAAUUAGGGUUCGAUUCCGGAGAGGGAGCCUGAGAAACGGCUACCACAUCUACGGAAGGCAGCAGGCGCGAAAAUUGCCCAAUCCUGAUUCAGGGAGGCAGUGACAAGAAAUAACAACUCUCAACAUUGUUGAGAAGUGUAAUGAGGAUAAUUUACAAACCUUACCGAAAGCAAUUGGAGGGCAAGUCUGGUGCCAGCAGCCGCGGUAAUUCCAGCUCCAAUAGCGUAUAUUAAAGUUGUUGCAGUUAAAAAGCUCGUAGUUGAAGUUCUGGCUGAUCGAUCCUCGAGCUCUGUAGCCGAGGACUCGUCAGUCAUCCGCUUGCAAAUAUAUGUUCGCCUUUAACCGGGUGGCUAUAUGAGUAAGCAAUUUACCUUGAGAAAAACAGAGUGUUCCAGGCAGGUUUGUCCGGAAUGCGUUAGCAUGGAAUAAUAGAAUAUGACUAGAGUCGAUUUAUUGGUUAAAGGCUUUAGUAAUGAUUAAUAGGAACAAUCGGGGGCAUUGGUACUCGUCAGUCAGAGGUGAAAUUCUAAGAUUUGACGAAGACUAACUGAUGCGAAAGCGUUUGCCAAGAAUGUUUUCAUUAAUCAAGAACGAAAGUUAGGGGAUCAAAGACGAUUAGAUACCGUCCUAGUCUUAACUAUAAACUAUACCGACUCGGAUUCAGAUGAAUA